CUAGAUAUGCCACACACACUGGGAACUUGCAAAUUGCAAAGCUGAUGGCUUUGAGUACCUAAGUUGAUUUUUAUUUUUCUUGAGCGAGACGGCAUGGACACUUUCAUUGUAUGUAAUUUUUCUUUCAGAGGGUAUAAAAAAUACCUUUGAACUGUGUGUUCAAACGCUGCUUUGUGUACCAUCCUUUGGGAGAGCGCUGUGGCUAAAAUUUUCUUGCUUACAAUGCAGCUCUCGUAAGUAAAUACUGUGGUCGAUUGUGAGCUAUUAAUCCAAUUGGUUCGAUACUAUGGGCUAAGUUCUUGAACUUUGGCAUUAUUUAUUACACUUCGCAUGCUGCACGCAUCUCUUAGCCUUACAGUUCAGCUUUUCUAUUUCUAAUUACCUUAUUUUUGUUACCAACAGGCCUGAGUUUCAAGUCUAGAAGCAACCUUCAAAUUCCGGUGACUGAAGCUGAGAAGUGCGCAUCUGCCUCAAUGACGUUGCAAAUCUUCUCUACCAUACAUUAAAAAUUAGGUUGUUGCCGCAAUACACUGGCUUGCCCUCUUCAGAAGAUCGAUUCGUUGUUACGAUCAAACGGCAUGUUCAUAGUUACUUCGUGAGCUGGCCCAUAGUGUGCAUACAUAUUUUAUUUUCUUCAAAUUUUAAAUUCGGGGCCCCCUUCCCACUUUUAUUUAUAGCUUUUGCUUAUACCUAAGUACAGUGAUCUUGACAUUGAUCAAAAUAAAUAAUUGAAUUCAUGAGGUGCUAAUUUCUAAGUUAGAAUUGUGGGAGUUCGUAUUUAUUUUCCAAAUUUGUUCGUACCUUUCAGAGUUCUUAAAUGAAGUAUGUAAAAUGUAUGAUUCCCUUGUGCCUGACUGUGUAAAAAAUAAUAAAAUGAGUUAUUUUUGCCUCUAUGUGGUUUGUAUGUUUGUUGUCAUUUCAACUCAUGGAAAGAGGCCUUAAAUAUGUCAUAGAUGAUAUGCCAAAUCUUCUGCUAUAAUGUAAAUAAUCGAUCAAUUUAAAUAACUUUUAAAAGUAAUCAUACAAUUUGAAUG
rnacentral:lncRNA from 1 species